GAGAGGAAAGGUAGAAUUCCCAGGGUGUAGCGGUGAAAUGCGUAGAGAUCUGGAGGAAUACCGAGUGGCGAAGGCAGCCUUCUGGCAUCACACUGACACUGAGGCUGCGAAAGCGUGGGUAGCAAACAGGAUUAGAUACCCUGGUAGUCACGCCGUAAACGAUGUCUACUAGUCGUUGGGUCCCUUGAGGACUUAGUGGCGCAGCUAACGCAAUAAGUAGACCGCCUGGGGAGUACGGCCGCAAGGUUAAAACUCAAAUGAAUUGACGGGGGCCCGCACAAGCGGUGGAGCAUGUGGUUUAAUUCGAUGCAACGCGAAGAACCUUACCUGGUCUUGACAUAUCAGAGAAUCCUCCAGAGAUGCGAUUGGUGCCUUCGGGAAUUAGAAGACAGGUGCUGCAUGGCUGUCGUCAGCUCGUGUCGUGAAAUGUUGGGUUAAGUCCCGCAACGAGCGCAACCCUUGUCCUUAUUUGCCAGCGAGUUAUGUCGGGAACUCUAAGGAUACUGCCGGUGACAAACCGGAGGAAGGCGGGGACGACGUCAAGUCAUCAUGGCCCUUACGGGCAGGGCUACACACGUGCUACAAUGGCAGGUACAGAGGGCAGCAACACAGCGAUGUGGAGCGAAUCCCAAAAAGCUUAUCGUAGUCCGGAUUGGAGUCUGCAACUCGACUCCAUGAAGUCGGAAUCGCUAGUAAUCGCGGAUCAGAAUGCCGCGGUGAAUACGUUCCCGGGCCUUGUACACACCGCCCGUCACACCAUGGGAGUGUGAUUGCACCAGAAGUGGUUAGCCUAACCGUAAGGAAGGCG
rnacentral:rRNA from 1 species